rnacentral:rRNA from 1 species
UGCGAGUGNNAGCGGCAACAGCUCAAAUUUGAAAUCUGGCCCCUCUGGGGUCCGAGUUGUAAUUUGCAGAGAGUGCUUCGGGUGAGACCGCGGUCUAAGUCCAUUGGAACACGGCGUCAUAGAGGGUGAGAAUCCCGUAUGUGAUCGUGGCUCGAGCCCGUGUGAAGCCUCUUCGACGAGUCGAGUUGUUUGGGAAUGCAGCUCAAAAUGGGUGGUAAAUUUCAUCUAAAGCUAAAUACUGGCUGGAGACCGAUAGCGCACAAGUAGAGUGAUCGAAAGAUGAAAAGCACUUUGGAAAGAGAGUCAAAAAGUACGUGAAAUUGUUGAAAGGGAAGCGCUUGCAACCAGACCUGCCCGUAGGCGAUCAGCCGCUGUUCUCAGCGGUGCACUCGCUCUGCGAUCAGGCCAGCAUCGGUUUUGGCGGUCGGAUAAAGGCCUUGGGAAUGUAGCUUCCCUUCGGGGGAGUCUUAUAGCCCUCGGUGCAAUGCGGCCAGCCGAGACCGAGGACCGCGCUCGGCUAGAUGC